rnacentral:lncRNA from 1 species
GGCUCUGCCUGGGGAAGCGGCGAGGCCUGGGGCCCUGGUCAGCUGCUCUGACGCCUUGGUGCUCCCGGGGGCAUCUCCAGGCUCACCCCAGCUUCCACGGCCCUGUCUCACGGGUCAAAGGGCCACUCAAAAGCUGCUUUGAAGACGGGGGCCCAGCCAGGAGCCGCACAGGCCUCUCCCGAGGGUCUAGGUGGCUAGAAGGGCACAAGCCACACGGCGUCGCGUCGAGAGACUGAAAUUGUCUAUGAACCGCCCUCGCCGGGUUUGAGACUAGAGAGCUGGUGUUUACACGACGUCGCAAACACCAUAAAGGGCACUAAACUGUUUCUUUAAAAGCCUUCUUUUUUUUUGAGACGGAGUCACUCUGUCGCCCAGGCUGGAGUGCAGUGGUGAGAUCUUGGCUCACUGCAACCUCCGCCUCCUGGGUUCAAGCGAUUCUCCCGCCUGAGCCUCCUGAGUAGCUGGGAUUAUAGGCACGUGCCACCAUGCUUAGCUGGAGUUUCACUCUUGUCGCCCAGGCUGGAGUACAGUGGUGCUAUCUCGGCUCACUGCAACCUCCACCUCACGGGUUCAAGUGAUUCUACUGUGACGGCCUUCCAAGUAGGUGGGACCACAGGCAUGCGCCACCACGCCCGGCUAAUUUUUGUAUUUUUAGUAGAGACGAGGUUUUGCCAUGUUGGCCAGGCUGGUCUCAAACUCCUGACCUCAGGUGAUCCACCUGCCUCGGCCUCCCACAGUGCUGGGAUUACAGGCGUGAGCCAACGCGCCCGGCCUUGUUUUAUGUUUCAUACGAUUUAUUUUACUUACUACCACCCAUUUCUUUUCUUCUUUCUAUCGUGGCCGCCGGACGUGGGGCUCCCGCUCCGCUUCUGGGGACGCCGCUCUGGCCUCUCUCAGCACCGGGCAGGGGCCAAAUGUGGGUGUUCGCCCUGGGUCGGGGUUCAGGCAGAGCCGCAGCCUCCUGGCUGGGAGGGUUCUCGCCUGCAGGCCGGCGGCCUCUGAGGACGACUCGCUCUCCAUUCGCCACCCAACCCGCGCUGAGUGCUGGACAUCCCGAGCGCGCUCUCCGUCCCUGCAGUUCCUAACGGGUUGGGAGGGUGGUUCUCCCCCGGCCGCAAUCCCGCCCCCAGGAGGCACUAACCCUAACGUGGCAUCUGGGGCCAUCUGUGGUUGUCACGACUGGGAAGGGGGAGAUCCUGGCCUGCACGGUCACCCACAGGCCCGACGGCCCCCGGGAGCCUGUUUCGGGUGCAGCACACCCGGGCUGGAUCGAGCACGGUCGGGGAGGAUGCGGGGCUGGGCCAAGGCCCUCGGCUCUGCAGGGAGGACGGAGAGCGGGUCCGGGGGGUCCGGGGAGGGAACGGGGCCGAGGCUCUGCGUCCACUGCCGGGCCGAUGGGCCAUGGGCUGCGAGGGCGGGUCGGGCGUAGAGGGUCUGGCUGGGAGGGCGGGUCAGAGGUCGGGGCCGCGGGCUGCGAGGGCGGGUCAGAGGUCGGGGCCGCGGGCUGCGACGGCGGGUCGGGAGUCGGGGCUCGGCCUGCGAGGGUGGGUCAAGGGUAGGGGGUCCCGGUCGGGGCCGCGCUCAGCACUCAAAGCGCCGCCAUCCCUGCUGAUGACAUUCUCGACCCGCAGGGCGCAGCUGACCAGCCGCUCCCCCUCCUUUUCCGCGGGUGCAGCUCACUGGCCCUGCCACUGCGCGCGCACCCACCCCGCCCACAGCUCCCGGCAGCUCCCGCGCGGCCCCCGCAGCUGAACCACAACUCCCGCCAUGCCGCGGAGCGCGGGGCGCCGGGGCGUGUGGCCCACAAGGCUUUGCGCGCUGGCGGGGCCGCUCUAGCCCGCGGUCCUCCGAGUUCGUGGCGGGCUGAUGCGGGCUUGGGGCGGGCGGCGCGGACGCCCUGGCGGCUGUCUCGCCCCGUGGUCGGUCUCCUCGCGUUCCCACUGCGGGGCGCCCCGGCUGCCCUUGCGUGGGGCCCGGCACGGGGCGGCCGAGGGGGCGUCCCCGCCGCGAGUCUUCCAGCGCGCUGGUCCCGGGAGGCCUGGCCGUUCGCCCAAGGAGCCUGGUGUCCCCGGGCGGAGACUGGGAAGCCGGGUCCUGUUCCCCGGCGCUGGGCUCGCUGCGGGGGUCGGGGCCGCAGGGCCCGGUCGGGGAUCCAGGUUCCGGGACGCGGAUUCUGGAGUAGGGGCUGCGGGGCUUCCGGCCCGCUUCGCGGGUCAGGGUCACCGGGAGGCCGUGGUUGCGUUGGGGGUACCCGGACGUCAGUCCCAGCAGCGCGAGGGACGAGGGCGCUCGUUAGUUCCACACUGAUUUACUUGUUAUUUUUUUGAGACGGAGUCUCGCUCUGUCGCCCAGGCUGGAGUGCAGUGGCGCCAUCUCGGCUCACCGCAAGCUCCGCCUCCCGGGUUCACGCCAUUCUCCUGCCUCAGCCUCCCGAGUAGCUGGGACUACAGGCGCCUGCCACCACGCCCGGCUAAUUGUUUGUAUUUUUAGUAGAGACGGGGUUUCACCGUGUUAGCCAGGAUGGUCUCGAUCUCCUGACCUCGUGAUCUGCCCGCCUCAGCCUCCCGAGGAGCUGGGAUUACAGGCUUCAGCCACCAAGCCCGGCCUUUUUUUUUUGUAUUUUUAGUAGAGAUAGUGUAGCAGGAAGAGCCGCAGACAAAACUCCUCAGACACCCAGUUAGAGAAGGAAGCGGUUUAUUCGGCCGGGGCCAUCGGCAAGACUCCUGUCCCAAGAGCCGAGCUCCCCGAGUGAGCAAUUCCUGUCCCUCUUCAGGGCUCACAACUCUCAGGGGGUCCGCGUGAGAGGGUCGUGAUCGAUUGAACAAGCAGGGGGUACGUGACUGGGGGCUGCAUGCACCGGCAAUCAGAUCGGAACAGAACAGGACAAGGGUUUUCACAGUGCUUUUCCAUACAAUGUCUGGAAUCUAUAGAUAACGUAACCCAGUAGGUCAGGGGUCGCUCUUUAACUACCAGGCCCAGGGCACAGCGCCGGGCUGUCUGCCUGUGGAUUUCAUUUCUGCCUUUUAGUUUUUACUUCUUUCUUUGGAGGCAGAAAUUGGGCAUAAGACAAUAUGAGGGAUGGUCUCCUCCCUUAAUAGAGUUUCACCAUGUUGGCCAGGCUGGUCUCGAACUCCUGACCUCAGCUGAUCCCCCCUGCCUCAUGCUUGUUAUUAUUUUGACACAGGGUCUCACUCUGUGGCCCAGGCUGGAGCGCAGUGGUGCGAUCUCCACUCACUGCAACCUCCGCCUCCUGAGCUCAAGCAAUCCUCCCGCCUCGGCCUUCCAAAGUGUUGGGACCACAGGCACACGUCAUGCGCCCUGCCAGCACAUCUUUAUUGAGUGCCUGCUGUAUGCCAAGCGUUGUUUUAAGUGCCAAGGAGACAGCAGAGUGCAAGGUGGGCUGACCUCGGCCCGAAGGAGCUUACAUUCUAGUGAGCAGCAGGGAAGAGAGACCAUGAGCCAGGCUAGUUAUGCCAUAAACCUCGGGCAUAAUACCGAAGUGGUGCUGUGCGGAGAAAUGUUGAACAGCUGGCUCUCCAAGGGAAAAGGCCCUCACUUGCAGCGCACGCCGCCCCCUGUGUUGUAAAUACUCCCAUCGUGGCUGCCAACAUGAGCCAACCAGCUCACAGAUCGCCGCGAACUUCACAGUGGGCUCAGGAGCUGGCAUGAGCAGCUCCAGCCGCCGCUGCAAUAGGUGAGGCGUGGAGAGUGCUGCUGGGAAGAAGGAAAAGGCAGGGAAGGGGGCAGGCAGCAUGAUGAUAGGCAGGUUGCAGGAUCAAAUCUGUGGUCCCGAUAGGCCGGGCAUGGCGGUUCACACCUGUAAUCCCAGCACUUUGGGAGGCUGAGGUGGGCGGAUCACUUGAGGUCAGGAGUUUGAGACCAGCCUGGCCAACAUGGUGAAACCCCAUCUCUAUUUCUUUCCUUCUUUUUUUUGAGAUGGAGUCUUGCUCUGUCGCCCAGGCUGGAGUGCACUGGCACAAUCUCGGCUCACUACAAGCUCCGCCUCCCGGGUUCACGUCAUUCUUCUGCCUCAGCCUCCUGUGUAGCUGGGACUACAGGCGCCUGCCACCACGCCUGGCUAAUUUUUUGUAUUUUUAGUAGAGACGGGGUUUCACUGUAUUAGCCAGGAUGGUCUCGAUCUCCUGAUCUCGUGAUCUGCUCGCCUCAGCCUCCCAAAGUGCUGGGAUUACAGGCGUGAGCCACCGCUCCCGGCCCCAUCUCUAUUAAAAAAGACAAAAAUUAGCUGGGUGUGGUGACGGGCGCCUGUAAUCCCAGCUACUUGGGAGGCUGAGGCAGGAGAAUCGCCUGAACCCACCAGGCGGAGGUUGCAGUGAGCCGAGAUUGCGCCACUACCCUCCAGCCUGGGUGAUAGAGCAAGACUCCAUCUCAGAAAAACAACAGAAACAAAAAAUCAAUCAAUCAAUCAGUGGUCCAAGGAAGAUCCUGGAGGUGGAGAGAUUUGAGCAAGGCCUUCCUGGAGGGGGAGGGAGUUGGACCGGGUGUAUCAGGCAGAAUGUACGGUGAGUGCAGAGGCUGAGUCCGGAGGGACCAACGCAGCCAGAGAGGGCAGGAAGGACCUGGGCUUGUAGGACCUUGCAGGCUACAGCAGAGCCCACUAGGACCCCUCUCCAGCCCCCCAAAUCCUCGGAAUACAAGCCCUUCCUUCCUCUGAGCUUCGGUGUCCUCGUCUGUAACAUGAGGACUUGCCAGGCAUGGGCUGGGUGCCCAGCAGAGCCUGAGAGCUGGUCCUGUCCUCACUGUCCCACGGGGACAGCAGGCUCUCUCUGGAUGAGGAUGGAGGGGAGCUGGCAGGUUCUCUGUGUCCUUGCGGGAAGAACAAGCCUUCCUUGUUAGAGUCUCCCGGGAACAAAGGGGCGGGCAGCAGCAGGGCGCGUGAGUCUGAGUCAGGGGGCUGGCCGCCGGACAAAGGACAGCAGUGAGCAGCCUCAGGGAAGUGGGGAGUGGCAGAUCACGGAGGCUGGGAGCAUGAGCUGACCCUGGACGGGCCGGUGGCAGCAGCCACAAACACCUGGCCUCCCCCUCUCCUGCUGUGCCGUGUGCCAGGGACACAGAAACAGCAGGUCAUCGGAGGAACCCGGCCUCCUGGGAGCUGCCUCCCAGCUGUCGCACCCUCAUCUGCAGCCGGAGGAUGUGUUUUAGGAAAGAAUGUCGGGAACUUGGGGCUGGCACCGUGGCUCACACCUGCCCUCCCGGUGCUUUAGGGGGCUGAGGUGGGAGGAUCGCUAACCCCAGGAGGUCAGGGCCGCCUCAUUCCCACCAUUCUCUGAUCACCCUUCUCCACCGUCAGUGAGCUGUGAUCGCGCCAGCCUGGAUGGUGGAGUGAGACCUUGUCUCUAGAGAAAAGAACGGUGGGACUUGGAUCGGCAGCAGCCACAGCAGUCAUGUCUGUCAUCUGGACUAUUGUAGAGCUUCAUUCCACUCACUGGCUCAGCAGGCACUCACUGCGCACCUGUUCUGGGCAGGCGGUGUUUGGGAUGCCCAGGGCGCCACGGGGCUCGGGCACGCCCGGCUCCUGCCUCUUCGUGUUCCUAUGUGAGCACGCGUGUGUGUGCGCGCCUGCCUGUGUGUGCCUCAUCGUGCGCACCCACGUGGUGUAAACGUGCACCUGUGUGUGUGUGUGUACGUGUGUUACGUGGUAGAGCACGGCAAUGACCCUCCAUAAACAACUAAGCAGGUCAGCAGGGUCCUCCGCUGGGUUGAGGUUGCACCCGCCCUUCCAGGACCCUCCCCUCCUCUCACUCCCCUUCACCCCACAGCGUCUCAGAAAAUCUUGUGAGUUCUGCCUUCAAGACAGGCCCAGAACCCACCCACUCCUGACCAUCCCACAGCAGCCCCCAGCCCAGGCCCCGUGGUGCCCACCUGGGCUGGUGUGCUCGCCUCCCCCGGGCUUCCCUACCCCCACCUUCCUACCCUCAGUCGAUUCCUUCAAACCCAAUUCAGGCCGUGCCCUCCUCUGCUCCAGCAGAGGCCUCCGUGGCUCCCACCCUGCUCAGGGUAAAACCCUGUGUCCUCUCCGUGUCCUCAGGGCCCUUCACGACCUGCUGGGUCAGCCCCGCCCUCCCUCCUCCUGCUCUCCCCUCCUCACCCUGCGGCAGCCACCCUGGCCUCCUCCUCGCUCCUCCGCCUCGCCAGGUGCGGUCCUGCCCCAGGGCCUUUGCACAGCGGUGCCCUCCCCAGACACCCCGUAGAUGUCUGCACAGCUGGGCAUCCCUUAGAGGUCCUGACUUCCUCCAGGCCUUUGCUAACGUUUCACCUCUUCAGGGGGCCUUCCUGGCCACCGUAUGUGAAGACCCAACUCUGCUCUGAGGUUUCCUUUCUGUGAUCACGUCACUGCACACUCCAGCCUGAGCACAGAAUGAGACCCUGUGUCAAAAAUAAAACAAGAGGCCAGGCGCGGUGGCUCAUGCCUGUAAUCCCAGCACUUUAGGAGGCCAAGGCGGGCGGAUCACCUGAGGUCAGGAGUUCGAGACCAGCCUGACCAACAUGGAGAAACCCCGUCUCUACUAAAAAUACAAAAAUUAGCCGGGCGUGGUGGCGCACACCUGUAAUCCCAGCUACUCAGGAGGCUGAGGCAGCAGAAUCGCUUGAGCCCGGGAGGCAGAGAUUGUGGUGAGCCAAGAUCGCGCCAUUGCACUGCAGCCUGGUGACAAGAGUGAAACUCUGUCUCAAAAAAAAAAAAAAAAAAAGAAAAAGAAAAGAAAAGAAAAAAAUAAAUAAAACAAGAGAGACAUGUGUUCACAGCAUUAUUUGCGGUUGUUCCGAGCUAGAAGCAGCCUAGAAGCUCUGAGUAAAUCAUGGCAUCUUCAUGGGAUGGAACGUUGCCCAGCAACAGAAGUGAGUGAUGGACAGCUGUCACCCACACCAGGACUGAUCUCACAGGCAGGGUGGGAGGUCUCAUGAGUGCACCGUCCCCUUCCCGUGCCGCACAGAAGAGGCAAAGCGGGGCCUGGCUUUACAGGCAGGAUGGCGGCUGACAGGUAGAGGGAAGGAAGAUGGCUGCAGGGGCUUCCGGGGAGCUGGGGACACAGUGUUGAUCCCAGAGCCGGCCCCAUGGGGAUUGAUUGAUCCCAGAGCUUCCGGGGACCCAUGAGAGGAAGAGCUGAUGGCUCUCUGCUGCAGGGUCUUCCGCAGGCCCUGUGGACAUCCCAGGUGGGGUGGUCCCGGCCACUGCAGGGUGCCUAGCGGCAUCCCUGCCCCCACUCACCCCAUGCCAGGAGCUCCCCCAGUCGUGACGACCACAGGUGUCCUUGGACACUGCCCAGCGUCCCCUGGGGGCAAUCACCUGGGUUGGGAACCCCUGGUCUGUUGAUUUCAGCCCACCAUGAUCUCAUAGCUCCGUGUCACUGGAACGAGGGUGAGCCUGCAUGCCUGGGGGAGUGGUGAGGGAACUCAGGCAGGUGGAGGUCUGUCGGGGAGGAGCCUGUGCUAGACGCAGUGGCAGCCAGGAUGGGCGUCUGUAGGGCUUCCCAUGGUCAUGUCUGAAGAGCUGGCUCUGGCUGACAUAGAGUGGCCUUUUGGGGCUGGGAGAGGCGUCCCAGGGAUCCCUGAGGAGGUGGGGGUGGGUGUUGGGGGGGGAUGGGGCCCUGGACUGGGCCGUGGCUGUGAGGUGGAGAGCAGCAGUCAGCUGCUGAGUGGGCUUUGGAUCCAGGAAGCGGCCCCAGGGGUUUGGAUCCAAGUCAGCAUGGGUCUGGAGGUGCCAUUUGCUGGAGUGAGGGAAGGCUGGAAGAGGAUGUUUGAAUGAUAAGGGGCCAGAUGCCCUUGUCUUCAGAGUGACCCUGUGGAGUCAGGCUGACAUAUGCCCGUUUUUCAGAGGAGGAAACACAUGCACAGUGGUGCAGUGAUUCAUCAGGGACCACACAGUGUCUAAUCCAGAAACCCUGGUUCAUGGGCGCAGGAGGUCUGCCUGGGAAGUUCACUGCAGGAAAUUGUAAAGGAGGUGAAGUGGGAAUAGCCUCGGUGCCCGUCGAGGGGCGGGGCUGGGGUGCUCGUAUGAUGGCGGCCAGGGUGGGUGACAUUCAGACUGGCAGGUGUAGGUGGGCAGGACAGUGCAGGGCCAAGAACAUUCUGGACUUGAGUCCUAGGUCCACACUCCUGCUGGCUUUGUGACCUCCGCCUCUGUCCAUGGUGAUAGGCAUGGAACAGCUCGUGGGGUGGCGCCUGUGAGCACAGAGCUGGCAGCAGAGCCGUUCUGCAUGAGUAAUCUGCUGUAUGCCAAGGACGCCCUGCCGAUCUCACCCUGUAUGCAGUAGGCGAUUAAUAAGUGCCCAUCCACUAAGGCAGCAUUUCCCCAUCUUGACACCAUUGACAUUUGAGGGUCUUCUCUUGGGAGGAACAGCGUUGUAGUUCUCCAGUCACUAGAUGUCAUCAGCACUCCUGGUCCUGGCAGCCAAGAAUGUCUCCAGACAUAGCCAAGUGUCCCCUGGGGGCAGCAACACCCAUGGCUGAGCACCAUUGGCCCAAGGGAUCAGUCCUAGGCUCUACUCUCUAGACCUGUGCUGCCCGACACAGCGUCCACAGGUCACAGGUGACGCUGGAGCACUGGAACUGUGGACGCUCCACACUGAGGCAGAGAGUGCAAAACAUGCCAGGCUGGGAGGACAGCAUUAAAAGAAGAAUGUGAAAUAUCUCACCUGUAAUGUUCAUAUGCAGAAAUGAUAUUAUUUUGGAUAUGGGGGUUAAUAAAAUGUAUUAUUAAAAUUAAUUUCACGUGUUUCUCUUUUUUUGAUACAACUACUAGAAAAUUUAAAAAUGGCCGAGCAUGGUGGUUCAUGCCUGUAAACCCAGUGCUUUGGGAGACUAAGGCAGGGGGAUUGCUUGAGGCCAGGAGUUAAAGACCAGCCUGGGCAACAUAGCAAGAUCCCAUCUCCACACACAAAAAAGAAAUUAGCCAGGGAUGGUGACACAUGCCUAUAGUCCUAGCUACUCCAGAGGCUGAAGUGGGAAGAUCACUUCAGCCCAGAAGUUGGAGGCUCCAGUGAGCUAUGAUUGCACCACUGCACUCUCCAGCCUGGGUGAUAGAGCAACAUAUUGUCUCAAAAAAAAAAAAAAAAAAAAAGUAGGAGGUUCUCAGUCUGUUUCUGGUGGGCAGUGCUGCUGUGGGUGAUCAACUUUCUGGCUACACCAUGAGCUUGGUGAAGAUGAGUUGGUCUUGGUUGCCAUCAUCCUUCCCAUUAUCCUUUCCCAUCAUCCUCCAAUCAUCCUUCUCGGUCAUCCUCCCAUUGUCCUUCCCAUCAUCCUUCUCCAUCAUCCUUCCCACCAUCCUUCCCAUCAUCCUUCUCCAUCAUCCUCCAUCAUCCUUCCCCAUCAUCCUUCCCCAUCAUCCUUCCCAUCAUCCUUCCCAUCAUCCUUCCCCAUCAUCCUUCCCAUCAUCCUUCCCCAUCAUCCUUCCCCAUCAUCCUUCUCCAUCAUCCUUCCCAUCAUCCUUCCCCAUCAUCCUUCCCACAUUCCUUCUCCAUCAUCGUUCUCCAUCAUCCUUCCCAUCAUCCUUCUCCAUCAUCCUUCUCCAUCAUCGUUCUCCAUCAUCCUUCCCAUCAUCCUUCCCAUCAUACUUUCCCAUCAUCUUUUCCCAUCAUCCUUCCCAUCAUCCUUCCCAUCAUCCUUCCCCAUCAUCCUUCUCAUCAUCCUUCCCCAUCAUCCUUCCCACAUUCCUUCUCCAUCAUCCUUCCCAUCAUCCUUCCCAUCAUCCUUCCCCAUCAUCCUUCCCACAUUCCUUCUCCAUCAUCGUUCUCCAUCAUCGUUCUCCAUCAUCCUUCCCAUCAUCCUUUCCAUCAUCCUUCCCCAUCAUCCUUCCCACAUUCCUUCUCCAUCAUCAUUCUCCGUCAUCGUUUUCCAUCAUCGUUCUCCAUCAUCCUUCCCCAUCAUCCUUCCCACAUUCCUUCUCCAUCAUCCUUCCCAUCAUCCUUCCCCAUCAUCCUUCCCACAUUCCUUCUCCAUCAUCGUUCUCCAUCAUCGUUUUCCAUCAUCGUUCUCCAUCAUCCUUCCCAUCAUCCUUUCCAUCAUCCUUCCCCAUCAUCCUUCCUACAUUCCUUCUGCAUCAUCAUUCUCCAUCAUCGUUUUCCAUCAUCGUUCUCCAUCAUCGUUCUCCAUCAUCCUUCCCAUCAUCCUUCCCACAUUCCUUCUCCAUCAUCGUUCUCCAUCAUCGUUCUCCAUCAUCCUUCUCCAUCAUCCUUCUCCAUCAUCCUUACCAUCAUCCUUCCCCAUCAUCCUUCCCAUCAUCCUUCCCCAUCACCUUCCCACAUUCCUUCUCCAUCAUCGUUCUCCAUCAUCGUUCUCCAUCAUCCUUCCCCAUCAUCCUUCCCCAUCAUCCUUCCCCAUCAUCCUUCUCCAUCAUCCUUACCAUCAUCCUUCCCCAUCAUCCUUCCCAUCAUCCUCCCCUAUCAUCCUUCCUGUCAUCCAUCCUCAUCAUCCUUCCCAGCAUGUGACGCCCUCUCCCGGCACCGCCCACGUUUUGCUCUCCCAGAUGUCACCAGAGGGCGCUUGUGAGCUCUGAUUGGGACGCGUCCCUGCUCACACGUCACCCGUGUCCCCACAGUCCACAGGCCGUGCAGGACCCGCCGCAUCGGCUUCCUCCCGGCUCCUCUUCUCCUUGCUCACGCUGCUCCAGCUGCACGGGCCUCGUCGCUGUUUCUCCUACACACCAGGCAGGUCCUGCCCCAGGGCCUCUGUGCGUGCAGUUCCUGUCAGCCUGGAAUGCCUCGCCCGCCUCCCGAGUUCGGCUUCUCCUCUGGUCUCUGCUGGAGCGUGACCUUCUCCGCGAGGCUCCCGACCUCCCAGUUCACAUCGCAGACGCUCACACCACCAACCACCCUGUGGCUGACCGCCACAGUUACUGCCUGAGACCGUCAUUAUAAGACUGAACGAAGGGACAAACGUAGAAAAUGAUAACAAGAAACAAAGGAAACUUUUAAAUAGAAAUAAAAACUUAAAAGUAACUAUUUUAAAGGAAGGGCAACGUGGGGAAGAAGAAGAGAGAAGGAAAGAGAGAAGAAGGGGCCGGGCAUGGUGGCUCACGCCUGUCAUCCCAGCACUUUGGGAGGCCGAGGCAGGCGGAUCACAAGGUCAGGAGAUCGAGACCAGCCUGGCCAACAUGGAGAAACCCCCGUCUCUACUAAAAAUACAAAAUUAGCCGGGCACGGUGGCUCACGCCUGUAAUCCCAGCACUUUGGGAGGCCGAGGCAGGCGGAUCACGAGGUCAGGAGAUCGAGACCAGCCUGGCCAACAUGGAGAAACCCCGUCUCUACUAAAAAUACAAAAAUUAGCCGGGCGUGGUUGCGCACGCCUGUAAUCCCAGCUACGCGAGAGGCUGAGGCAGGAGGAUCACUUGAACCUGGGAGACAGAGGUUGCAGUGAGCUGAGAUGGCGCCACUGCACUCCAGCCUGGGCGACAAGGGUGAAACUCCAUCCCCCCCCCCCCCAAAAAAAAAAAAAGAGAAAAAGAAGAAGAAAAGGGCUCCCUGCUCCUAGUGAGCAAAGGCAGCUUCCUGAGCUUCUACAGCCCUUAGUAUUUAUUGGGUAACAAGAGCAGAGAGGAGGAGGUAACGAUUGAGCAGCUGCUUAAUUGAUCACAGGUUCAUAUUGUUACUGACGGGCUUCAAUUAUGCCUAAUCGUAGGAAACAUUUGUGCCUGGGUGGUGAUGGCCCUCAGCAGCCCUUCUGCACGGCAGACGCAGUUUGUCAGUUUGCCAACAUUCUGCAUUUACGAGAACAGUUUGCUGUCUACUCAUAUAGCCCCCCAGUGGUAUACUGAGUUGAUCACGGCCCUCACUCUUUCGGCCUCCAACACCCCCUUCGCCCACGUUUCCUCCAUAGCGCGACGUGCCCUCUGCACUCACGUAAGUUUCACUUAUCUGCCUGCCUGUCUCCAAGGGAAAGGGAGGACGAGGAACUUGUGUGUUUUGUCCUCUCCCGUUUUCCCAGCACCUGAGCAGGGCCUGGCCCCAAAUAAACACUGGCUGAGUUCCUAAUUACGGUGAGAACAAGGGUCUCGGGAGCACCAACGGAGUCACCUCCCACCCAGGACACCCAGGCCGGGCAGUGACGUCCCUCGCCUGCAGCCGGCAGCUGGGCGGGUGGACGUAGGGCCGGCCUCCGGCCUCUCAUCCGGUCCAGCCUCCCUUUUUUUCACUGUUGUGAUUUAGUCUCUUCUGUCGAGCAGGCAGGAUUAAAAUCAGGGCUCAUCUGCAUGUGUGUUGAAUUCAUUUGCAUCUCAUUUGCAAGCUCUUUGCUUGGCAGUUGCGACAAGCUCUGAGCUGAAGACAGAGUUGAUAGAAUCUGGUGCGAUCAGAUCAGAAGGGGACUGGUGGCUGGAGGGGCCCCAGCUCGUUCUGGCGAGGCUGCCGGCCCUCAGCGUCCUCCCAGCAACAUGCUGUCGGCUUGGCCGGCUUCCCAUCCUGUCUUCCCUGUGUUAGCUUUUGGUUCCACCCCACGUAAAAUGGGGAAACGGAGGCAGGUGGGGCCGAGUCCGGGCUGGAACCAAGUCUCUGGCUGUCUGCCUUUAGUGGCUGUCUGGUGUGGCCUGGACCUGGUGACCCGGAUGUGAGGAGGGAUGGGGUUGGGGGAACACCUUCCAGGCCCUUGUCCCCUCUGUCUCUUUAGCCGUGGGAGCCCCUGGGGUCCUGCACUUCGGCUGGUUUUGGUGAAGGAGCAGCUUUGGUCGAGGGAGGUUGGGGCCUUUCCUCCUCUCUCCCUCCUCGGCACCCAUCCCUGCUGUGGCUCUGGAGUUGUGCUGCCUCUGGAAACGAGCAAAUGGUGUGUCCAAGGUUGGGCAGUGACAGGGCCUGUGGGCUGGGGGCCCUCGUGACCGAGGAAGGGGCCAGCGAGGGUUGGUUUGCUGGCAGAGGCAUCUCAGGUAGAGAGAGCUCAGGCAGAGGCCGAGGUGGAGACCGUCUUAGGGGCUCGAGGGAGGGAAAGCAGGUCCGGAUGGUCAGAGUAGAGCGGCAAAGGGGAAGGAGCAGGACGAGAGGACAGGGGGAGGUGGAGACGAGGCCGUGCAGGGCCUGCGUGCCGUGGCGUGGCGCGUGUCUGCAGUCCCAGCUACCCGGGAGGCUGAGGCAGGAGAAUGGCGUGAACCCGGGAGGCGGAGCUCGCAGUGAGCCGAGAUCGUGCCACUGCACUCCAGCCUGGGCGACAGAGCGAGACUCCGUGUCAAAAAUAAAUAAAUACACAAAUAAAAAUAAAAAUAAAGACCAGCUUUUUUGGGAUGGGGAGGAGGCGUUCUUUUUUUCUCUUUUUUUUGAUUUUGACGUGGAGUCUCGCUCUGUCACUCAGGCUGGAGUGCAGCGGUGUGAUCCUGGCUCAGUGGUGCAACCUCCACCUCCAGGGUUCAAGCGGGUUCAAGCGAGUCUCCUGCCUCAACCUCCUGUGUGGCUGGGAUUACAGACGUGCACCACUGUGCCCAGCUAAUUUUUUUAUUUUUAAUAGAGACGGGGUUUCACCAUGGUGGCCAGGCUGGUCUCGAACUCCUGAUCUCAAGUGAUCCGCCCGCCUCGGCCUCCCAGAGUGCUGGGAUUACAGGCAUGAGCCACAGUGCCCGGCCAAGGGAUUAUUUCUACAGUUUUCAAUUUCAUGGAUUUCUACUGUUAUCUUUACAAUCUUCCUUAUACUUACUCUUGUUUUCCUAGCUUCUUAGGUGGAAACUUAGGCCUAGGCUGGAGUGCAGUGGCACAAUCUUGGCUCACUGCAGCCUUGGCCUCCUUAGGCUCAAGCAAUCCUCUCACCUCAGCCUCCUGAGUAGCUGGGAUUACAGGCACACACCACCACUCCUGGCUGAUUUUUGUAUUUUUUGUAGAGAUGGGGUUUCACCAUGUUGCCUGGGCUGGUCUUGAACUCCUGAGCUGAAGCAAUCUGCUUGCCUUGGCUUCCCAAAGUGCAGGGAUUACAGGUGUGAGCCGCUGUGCCCAGCCUUCUUUUCUCAUAUAAAAAUUUAAAGCAACCAUUUUCCCUCUAAGUACUUCUUUAACUGCAUCCUACACAGUUUAAUAUGUUGAUUUUUUAUAGUCAUUUAGUUUGAAAAUUUUCUAACUUCCUUUGUGAUGACUUCUUUGAUGCGUGGGUUAUUCAGAAGUAUGUUGUUUAACUUCUAAAUAUAUUUGGGGGAUCCUGGAUAUCGUAUUGUUGGUGAUUUCUAUUUUAAUUCCUUUUUCACCAGAUAAUAUGCUCUGUAAGUUUCAAAAGUUUGAUAUGUACUAAGACUUGUUUUAUGAUCCUUUAUGUAGACUAUACCAUUUUGAUUAAAAAAUUUUAAAACAUGCAAUACAUUAAAAUUACAUUGCAGGGUGAAAUGUAUAAUUGUAUGGUAUGUGAAUUAUAUCAAUAAAGCUGUUAAAGAUGACACUGCAGGCCAGGCACGGUGGCUUACGCUUGUAAUCCCAGCACUUUGGGAGGCCGAGGUGUGUGGAUCACCUGAGGUCAGGAGUUUGAAACCAGCCUGGCCAACAUGGAGAAACCCCAUCUCUACUAAAAAUACAAAAAAAUUGGCUGGGCGCGGUGGCUCACACCUGUAAUCCUGGCACUUUGGGAGGCUGAGGCGGUUGGAUCACAAGGUCAAGAGAUUGAGGCCAUCCUGGCCAACGUGGUGAAACCCCGUCUCUACUAAAAAUACAAAAAAAUUAGCUGGACAUGGUGGAGUGUGCCUGUAAUUAGCUACUAAAAAUACAAAAAAAUUAGCUAGACGUGGUGGUGCAUGCCUGUAAUCCCAGCUACUCGAGAGGCUGAGGCAGGAGAAUUUCUUGAACCCUGGAGGCGGAGGUUCCAGUGAGCCGAGAUCGCGCCACUGCAUUCCAGCCUGGGCGGGGGAGCAAGACUCUGUCUCAAAAAAAAAAAAAAAAAAAAAAAAAAAAAAUUAGCCAGGCGUGGUGAAACCCCAUCUCUACUAAAAAAUAUAAAAAUUAGUCA